UGAAUUUUGGGAUGAGGCCCUGAAAUGCAUGCUGGGCACAGUGCCUGAAUCAGACUGGAAAUAUGAAUUUA
ensembl:snoRNA